GGACGCUGAUUGGGCAGCUGCCAAGCGCCUCGACUCCGCCUCACCCACACGCCACGACGCCCAUUGGACGGCCUCAGCCGGCCACCCACCCUCUUCUUCUCGGCUCCACCAAUAGGAGACGGGAUCCCGAGAGUUCGCCCCACCCUGGGGCCAAAAGAGACAUGUUGGCUACUUUAACAACCUUGAAGUGAACUCCAGGAACACUAACAGCAUCACCUUUGCGACCAAAUCCAGCAACCAGAACCUCAUGGUUUUCCUCACUGAAGCUCAAGCACCAUCAUUGGGCACAAACGCUGUGAUCUUGCCAUUCCUGACGUGCCGGACACAGACACACUUCCUGAUAGCAGAAUUGGGCUGCUUAGCUUCAGCUUAGCAUCCACACCUACUAACCUAGUCCCAGGUGGUCUUGAACUCACAGAAAUCUUCUACCUCUGCCUCCUGAGUGCUGGGAUUAAAGGCGUGUGCUCCAUGCCUGGCUCAACACCUACUUUUUCCAGCGCAAUCCCCUGUGCAUGAGAAGCAGCCUCAAAAGGGUUGGCCUGCAGGGCAAUGCCCAGGUGGGCCUUCUUGUAUUGUUUAUCAUGCCACUUCUGGUCCCAUCGGGGGCUACAGAGCUUCCGGCACUUCCAUGACACUUGCCCAUCUUUCCUGUGCCAUGGGCUAGAGCAAAAGAGAAUCUUCUCUUUUCAGAUGGCAGUGACCUUGAGACAACUCAGAAAUGCUG